ACUUCUGAAAACUGAUGUGAGUUCUUGAAAACACGCACCUUUUCCUUUCAACACUUAAACCAGACUUAAAGCUGUUUACUGAGAAGAGAGCACCACCUUGUGUUAAGGGACAUGUGUUGUGAUUAGGAGCUCUUUUUUAAAAGGAAUUUAGCUCUUCCACAAUGGAAAUGAGCCUGGAGAAAAGUAUCACCAUAUGACGGAGCCUGUGGAAAUUGAAGAAUAGAUUUCUGCAUGUCUAAGUUUGAA